rnacentral:antisense_RNA from 1 species
CUUCACCGAACCGAGCCACAGCGGGCGCUCGUCGUCCCGCCCCUGCCCGUACGUCGCCAGCAACGCCUGCGCCUC